UGCUGUGGAUCAAAUGCUAUCAAAUAGCA
rnacentral:piRNA from 1 species